CCUACAGUUCAUGGGGUCACACAGAGUCGGACGUGACUGAGCAUGCAUGAAGACGCAGAAAGACCACGAGCUGGGGGUGUCGUGAAAACGGGUCCUCCUUGUUGCAGACAUUCCUUACAGGCUACCACCCAUCUGCCCAGCACACACAACAGAACACGACCAGAGCUGCUUCCGCAUGGACUGAGCCGCACGGUGCAUUGGUCCCCGGCUGAGGGAACAGAAGUGCUUGAGCUGUUGUUUUGUGACCAGAAGGCAGAGGAGGGGCCCCAGAGGCCGAGGGGAUGGUGUGCUUGCUACCCUGACACAGGGCUUUGUGUUCUUGCAGACACAGAGUGGGAGGGUUCCGGCCAGAAACAGAAAGGGCCGAUUCCCCAGGAGGCUCAGAGGGACUCAGAGCAUGAGGAGGGGGCUGGGGGCUCAUCAGGUCUUGCCCCCAGCUUCUGCACAGCAUCCAGAACUGCCAGGUGGCCAGGGAGACGACAGCCCUGCACGGCCAUCAGCCUCCUUCCAAGUGACACGGUCGAUGUGGGCACGGGCAAGGCUCCUGGAAGCAAGUUCAAGGUUACCGGACGGUGAUGAAGGGGAGCAGAGAUGAAGAAGGAGAUUCCGUGAGAAUCAGCUCCAGGGGGACCGCUUCUGAUGAGAUGAAGACUCUGGCUGGCUUUGUCAGCACCCCAGCAAGCUGCUGCCUGGACUAUCAGCCAGGGUGAACAUUGAGUAUUUGGGACAAGAAAUUAAUGUGAAUAUAUUUUGAAGCCAAGAGUCAUGAGACAUGUAGAAGUUCUGUCUGCAUGUACCUGGAUACAUACAUGAGUCAGAGAAGCAGUUUGGGGAUCAUCUGCUGCUUUGAAUGAUUCAUGUGUCAAAAAAGAUCACUGAGACCUCAUGGGGGUGUAACUGGCCACAACCGCGCAGCCUGGGCUGUCGGGAAGCUUGCUGGCUCCCCCACAGAACUCUGCCCCUGACCAUAGAACCUCUUGGUAGCAUCCAAUCCAUGCUUGGCUGCCUAGACCUGGAAUCAACCUGGUUUCCUCUCAGGAAAAAUGCCCCAUGCCUCAGCUGGUCUCGUGAACACUCUGCCAGGCUGUCGAGCUCUUAGUGUAGGAAUGCUUUUAAAACAAGGACUGUGUCUUUUAUUUCAUGGAUCCUCCCCCUCAAGUCCCUGAUCCAGGGCUUUUAAUGCAGUAAGUAAAUAUUUUUGUACUUAACAUUGGAAUAGUGGCAGGGUAGGGAGGCUGGAUUUUCACCUUCCAAGGGUUCAGGCUACACCCCAAGGAAUCAAAUUUUUGAAAGGAUCUGGCAACAUACAUUAAAAUGCUGCCACUUUUGAGAAACUAUCCUGUGGAAAUGAAAUUCCUGUUCAUAGGGGUGUAUGUAAAAGACCAUUUAUUGCAAAAUGCUUAGAGUGACAAGAAAAAUCAGAAUGACUUGAAAAUCCAUCAGUAGGAGGGUGCUGGUUGACAAAAGCAUGGUUUAUCCACAUAGCGAGACAUUUUGCAUGUUUUAAAAAUAAUAACUUGGAUUUACAUGUAAUAACCUGGAAAGGAGUCUCUAAGGUAAUAACAUACGGUUUAACAAAGAGAUCAAGUUGCUGAGUGAUGUAUGUUAUUCCACUUCUGUACAACACAUUGAUGGUCCCUGACUUAGCAGAGUUUUGAUUUAUGAUUUUACAACUUAACCAUGGUAUGAAAGUGAUGGUGUGUUCGGCAGGAACCAUACUCUAAAGGUUGAAUUUCAACCUUUUCCUGGCCUAGGGACAUGCAGUCCAAUACAGUCUUGUGAUGCUGGGCAGUGGCAGUGACCACAUCUCCUGGUCGGCCCUGCAGUUGAGGUAGACAACCGAUGCUUGUAGAGCCAUUCCGUACUCAGAUAGCCAUUCUGCUUUCCUGCUUUCAGUAUAUUACAUGUGGGGAGGUGGGGUGUUAGCAAAUGGACUUUGUGUGAGAUGAUCUUGCUCAGCUGCAGGCUGAUGUAAGUGUUCUGAGCGUGUUUAAGGCAGGCAGGGUGACCUGCCUGUGAUGCUCGGGAGGGUAAGCGCAUUUUUGACUCAUGGUAUUCUCCAUCUGGGAUGGGUUCAUCAGGAGACAAUUGCUACUGUAAGUCAAGGAAGAUCUGUUCAUACAUUUGCAUGAGAAACAAAGGCAAGAUAUACAGAAACAUGCGAGCAUCACCAGAGAGGGGUAACUUAAUUUUUAAGUUUUUAAAAAUCUAGCAGAGUUUAUAUUAAAGAAAAAAAAUGCUUUAGGAAGGGAAGAGAUAGAUCAGGGCAGUUAACUGGUCCAGAAAGAAAACAGGUGGAACCAAGCACAGCUUUUUUUGCCACCUCAGCUUCCUGUGCACCCCCAGGCAGGACCAUCCCUAAAACUCAGGAUGAGCUCUUCGCUGGGGCAGGUCACACAGGGUGUUAUGUCCCAAGAAAUAUCAGUACUUGAUGUUUUGGGGAGGGAGGCAAGGCUGCAAAAUUUCCCAUCCAUAAAAGUUUUGGAAGCACUCAGGAACUUUAGUAUCUUGAUAAUGUGUCCCCAGCCUUACCUGAAUGGAGGCUACUAUGCUUCUAGUCCAGGUCCUAAAGCCUCCAGGGUCUCCUGUCUAUAUCAGUGGUUAGUUCUUGCAGGGCCUCCCUGACAAUAAACCAUUGGUUAUAGCUGUAUUGAACCUAUAAGACCCAAUCCAUAUGACCUCUGAUAGUACCUCUGAAUCCAUAACCAUCUCCUCCUGAGAGGUCAUCAGGGUAGGGCUGUGUCUUUUCAUCUUCUGGUCCAGAACACCCAGCACAGUGCUUGGCUUAACGUAUCUGCUAUAGAAGGGCUAAUGGAAGAAAACGUGUGCUGAGUUCUGGCACCAGAUAAAUGGAAUUGACUUCUAGCUGGCUUUGGGGACCCAGGAGAGAUUUUCCAGAAGAAGGUGAACCUUAAUGACUUAAGAGGAAAGGAAUGGAGUAUCCAGCUUCCACCAAGGAGAAGAAGCUGAUUUUUGUUGUGACAGCAUUUUAGAAAGACUAAAAUAGUAUCUCUAAGGGCUCUGCUACCUUAUUCCUCUUCUGCCUCCUCCAGAGAAGUUUGGGUUCCAUCGUGGGCCACUGAGAAAAUGUAUGGAUGUCUUUUGAGUCCUUCUCACCUUGGGAGGGCUCCCCUGAGAGCUCAGUUGGUAAAGAAUCUGCCUGCAAUUCAAGGAGACCCCGGUUCAAUUCCUGGGUCAGGAAGAUCCACUGGAGAAGAGAUAGGCUACUCACUCCAGUAUUCUUGUG